AAGCCUCAGUAGGCGGAGCGCAGCCGGAGAACCUGGUGCCUACAGCGAAUGCAGCAGUGCAGGGGAAUGACCUUAUCUCAGCAGCCAACAGGAAAUGAUGAAAUGUGCUAGGAGAAUUCAGCUGAGAGAGGAGGUCGGAUGUACCAGCAGGGUUGGGAAGAGGCAGGUACGGAAGCUGAUCUGCAAAGUUCGCUGGCGACUGACAGAAAAACGUUCGUCUGCAGAUUCUGAGCAUCCGGAGUUGACUCUCUGAAUCUAAGCAUUCCCUGCUGCCCCCUCACCCUUUGAAGAAAUGUCUGUCACUUAUGAUGAUUCCGUUGGAGUAGAAGUGUCCAGUGAUAGCUUCUGGGAGGUCGGGAACUAUAAGCGGACCGUGAAGCGGAUUGACGAUGGCCACCGCCUGUGCAGUGACCUCAUGAACUGCCUGCACGAGCGGGCACGCAUUGAGAAGGCAUAUGCGCAGCAGCUCACUGAGUGGGCCCGGCGCUGGAGGCAGCUUGUGGAGAAAGGGCCACAGUAUGGAACAGUGGAGAAGGCCUGGGUGGCCAUGAUGUCUGAGGCAGAGAAGGUGAGUGAGCUGCACCUCGAGGUGAAGGCCUCACUGAUGAAUGAGGACUUUGAAAAGAUCAAGAAUUGGCAGAAGGAAGCCUUUCACAAACAGAUGAUGGGGGGCUUUAAGGAGACCAAGGAGGCUGAGGACGGCUUUCGCAAGGCACAGAAGCCCUGGGCCAAGAAGCUGAAAGAGAUGGAGGCAGCAAAGAAAGCCUACCACGCAGCGUGCAAAGAGGAGAAGCUGGCCAUCUCCCGGGAGGCCAACAGCAAAGCGGACCCCUCCCUUAACCCAGAGCAGCUCAAGAAAUUACAAGACAAAGUAGAGAAAUGCAAGCAAGACGUUCUCAAGACCAAAGAGAAGUACGAGAAGUCCCUGAAGGAGCUGGACCAGGGCACGCCCCAGUACAUGGAGAACAUGGAGCAGGUGUUCGAACAGUGCCAGCAGUUUGAGGAGAAGCGCCUGCGCUUCUUCCGGGAGGUUCUGCUGGAGGUUCAGAAGCACCUAGACCUGUCCAAUGUGUCCAGCUACAAAACCAUCUACCGGGACCUGGAGCAGAAUAUCAAGGCAGCUGACGCAGUGGAGGACCUGAGGUGGUUCAGAGCCAAUCACGGGCCAGGCAUGGCCAUGAACUGGCCACAGUUUGAGGAGUGGUCCGCAGACCUGAAUCGAACUCUCAGCCGGAGAGAGAAGAAGAAGGCUGCUGAUGGUGUCACCCUGACAGGCAUCAACCAGACAGGUGACCAGUCCCUGCAGAACAAGUCUAGCAGCAACCUUAGUGUCCCGAGCAACCCCGCGCAGUCACAGUCCAGCUACAACCCCUUCGAGGAUGAGGACGACACGGGCAGCACCGUCAGUGAGAAGGAGGACAUUAAGACCAAAAAGUUGGUGAACAAAUGCUUCCCUCUAGUUCCCACCUCGCUGUCUCUCUCCCUCUCUCUCUGUCCAGGGCUCUGGCCCAAUAUCUUGCCCCUCAGCACCCAGCAGCGCAUGAAGCCCUGCAGGAGGCGGGCACCUGGCACAGUGCACGGGACUGGCACCGCUAACAAUCUGGUUGCUUUUUCUCUGUCCUCUGUUAACCCUUCAAGGCCCGGGCACCACCUUGGCACACCAGAAGACGACAGAUGGGCAGUCUGUGCUGGGGACCUGCAGGAGCAGGGACCUCCGGGCUGCCUCUGGGGCACUGGUGUGGGUCACCACCAGCCGCCUGCUCUUACCUAUUGGUGGCUCAGGUUGAGUGUGAAUGGCAUGAAUUCUCACCAGGGCCUGGCUCCAUCCAUGCUGUCACGCAGAGGGAGCUGUACGCCUUCAGAAAGAGUCCUGAGCCCUGUGCCUCACAGCGCCUGCACCCUCCCCUCACAGGGGCAGAGGCUCUGGGUGGGGGCCUCACGCCCUCUGCCAGCCCUGGCUGAGGCCCCUGUGUCAACCCCUUUCUUACAGUGUGAGCAGCUACGAGAAGACCCAGAACUACCCCACCGACUGGUCAGAUGACGAGUCCAACAACCCGUUCUCCUCCACGGAUGCCAAUGGGGAUUCAAACCCAUUCGAUGAGGAUACCACUUCAGGGACGGAAGUGCGAGUCCGGGCCCUUUAUGACUACGAGGGUCAGGAGCAUGAUGAGCUAAGCUUCAAGGCCGGGGACGAGCUGACCAAGAUGGAGGAUGAAGAUGAGCAAGGCUGGUGCAAGGGACGCUUGGACAAUGGGCAGGUUGGCCUAUACCCAGCAAAUUAUGUGGAGGAGAUUCAGUGACAGGCCAGGGCCAGGCCGGCAGAGGGACGGAGGCGGUGGCCCAGGAGCUCCAGUGCCUCCCACCGGCCAUGUGGGUGUCCACUCCUAUUCCUGCAGAAGAUGAAGGUCCGUUGCUCUUGGCUUCAUGGUGUCCCUGGCAGUCAGACAGCUGGUCAUUUCACCUGGGGCUCGGCACCUUUCCAAGUGCAGCUGCAGGGAUCUGAGCGCAGGAAGAUGCAAAGCAACAGAGAAGCAGCCGGCCCCCUGCCGCCGCCUGCUGCGUUUGUCGGCUUAUCAUGGAUCUGUGUAUUCUUGACCUUGUCUCUCCUCUCCUCCGAGUCAAUGGUGGGUUAUGCUGAUUCUAGUUCACUGAUCACUUUCUCUGGUGAGUCCCGUCACUUGCAACUUAAAUGAACAAACUUAGAUGCCAUUUUCUGAGUAAAGAUUUUGAGGUUUUUAAUUUAAAGGCUGUGUACAGUUAUACUUUUUUUAUACCUGUUCUUCCAUUCGUUUAUACUUAAAUUAUGGCACAGACUAGCGUAGGAAUUGGUCUUGAGGAUUGGUAUCUCUACUUCCGUGCUGUGCCAUUAAUCAGCCAUGCCACUGUGUGGGUAAGCUGCAAGGGGUGAAGCUCAUGACGAUGUUGGAGGUGGGAAGUUGUAGAAAGAUGGGCACAUUAUGGACUCCUACUGUGAGUGCCCUUUCUGUAUGGGGGUGACUGAAUGCAAGUUUCAGAUAUAGCCAUAGCUAGUAUAGCCCCCAAAAGUCGCCAUAUUUAAAAUUUUUCACUUUAAUUUUGCUUAAAACUUUACUCUUUUGCAAAUUAACAGCUUUAUCAGUGAUUUGGAAGGUUAAAAAGUAAUAAGACUAACUUUUCAAGCAAAUGCAUUUGUGUCUUGGUGUCUAUCUGUACAUAUUACUUGAUAUCCAGAGAAUCUAAAGAUUCUGUCUACUGUUUUGAUGAGAUUUGACAGCGGGUUUCAUUUGUGAAUGGCAUGACGUCUGUGGCGUUUGGGCACAGGCCUGACUGGCCAACUGGACCUUCUCCCAGGCUCAGAUGUGUGUCUGGGCCCCUCUGACGUGGAAACUUCAGGAGAGAGACUUAAUGUAUCCUUACUGGCUGGCCUCAGGCCCUGCUUCUGCCUGGCCUUCAUCCUUGGUCCCGCAGCAGAGCACUGCAAACACCGCAUCUUUGCAGCAGCCGCAAACUUCACAGUCGUCUGUAUUCCUUGUGGGCAAACAAAAGCUGGAUCUCACCCACAGCACAGGCCUCUCUGAGUGUCCUUAGUCUCCAGAGAGCCAGGAGUGCUGUGGUCCAAGCUACACUGUGGUCACGUGGUGGGCAAGGCGGGUGGGACUUUAUUUUGUGUGUCUCAGACCCUGGGCCUGUCCUGCCAGUCACAAGCUAUGCAUUUACCCUAUUUCCAGCGAACUUAAUGUCUUGCUGGGAGGUGGAUAUGUGUCUGUGUCUUUGUCUGUCAUAAAACUUACCAGCAGAAGUCCUCAUUCCUAUGCUACAGAUUUACCAAAAAUUGUCAAGUCUUUUAAGUUUAGUUCCUUUAAAUGUAUAGUAUUUUAGGGGAAAAAAAAAUCAAUAAAUGGUUGAU